AACAAACCCUCCAGCGGCCAGCCAAUCUCUCUCCUUGCUCAUCCUGCACAUUUAGAAAUACAUGCAGGGCUGAGUAUAAAAUACUCAGUGGACAUAAGCCGAAAAUAAACAAUCUCGCUCUUAGAGCUAUAAAUUUAACUUGCCAUUUAUGCUUUACACAGGGGUUUUACUCAAAAGAACCCGUGUAAGCAAUUGAUAAAUUAUAAGCAUCAUAAACAAUGAAUGAUAGACUGCAGUAAAAAAUACUCAGCAUGUAGUACCACUUCUACAACUCAUCAUCAUCAAGGUACUGAGAAGUAGGCCUCAUUCUCAAGCACUGUAACCGGCCGAUUCGACAGUCGGCUCACAGUCAUUUCUGACCGGCCAACCCGGUAUACAGCUCACGGUUACCUCUGUGUACACAAUCCUACUUUUUGCAGGACCCGAAUUCGUCUCAUCCGUAGAGGGUAACGUACAGGCUCGUCGUCAUCAAAACUCGGCAAGUUAAUUAGUUCAAACAUCAAUUUAUCUCAAAUCAUUUUUAAAACUCAUAAACAUCAUCAUAAUCAUCAUUUAGAAAGCCAAUAAUAGGGGUAUUAGAAAGUAAUGCCCACCUGGAAAUCCUAACUUUAGCUCUGGUGCUUUGGAGUGAUCUCACUUAUGCCCUCGACUCGUAU
rnacentral:lncRNA from 1 species